GUGAAUCAUCAAAUCUUUGAACGCAAAUUGCACUCUCCGGUUUUCCGGGAGAGUAUGCCUGUUUGUGGGUCAGCCUAAAAAAAAUCGACAUUGUUGCUGUUAUUUAAUGGUGACUUUCGUCGGAGAUUGGGUUAUCCUAAACCUUUUUUUUUUGGGUUUAAGCGCUUUAAAAUUUUUUUUCCGGAUUCUAUGACGUUUUUUAAGUUUUUUUUUUUUUAU
rnacentral:misc_RNA from 1 species